AACCUCCGCAAUGUGGGAAAUCGCGACGGGGGGAUCCCAAGUGCCAUUCUUAACGGGAUGGCUUUUCAUUAGUGUAAAGAGCUUUUGGAAUAAGAGCUGGGCAAGACCGGUGCCAGCCGCCGCGGUAACACCGGCAGCUCUAGUGGUAGCAAUUUUUAUUGGGCCUAAAGCGUCCGUAGCCGGUUUAAUAAGUCUCUGGUGAAAUCCUGCAGCUUAACUGUGGGAAUUGCUGGAGAUACUAUUAGACUUGAGAUCGGGAGAGGUUAGAGGUACUCCCAGGGUAGAGGUGAAAUUCUGUAAUCCUGGGAGGACCGCCUGUUGCGAAGGCGUCUAACUGGAACGAUUCUGACGGUGAGGGACGAAAGUUAGGGGCGCGAACCGGAUUAGAUACCCGGGUAGUCCUAACUGUAACGAUGCGGACUUGGUGUUGGGGUGGCUUUGAGCUGCUCCAGUGCCGAAGGGAAGCUGUUAAGUCCGCCGCCUGGGAAGUACGGUCGCAAGACUGAAACUUAAAGGAAUU
rnacentral:rRNA from 1 species